GACGAACGCUGGCGGCGUGCUUAACACAUGCAAGUCGUACGGUAAGGCCCUUUCGGGGGUACACGAGUGGCGCACGGGUGAGUAACACGUGAGUAACCUGCCCACAACUUUGGGAUAACGCUAGGAAACUGGUGCUAAUACUGGAUAUGUGCUCCUGCUUCAUGGUGGGGGUUGGAAAGCUCCGGCGGUUGUGGAUGGACUCGCGGCCUAUCAGCUUGUUGGUGGGGUAGUGGCCUACCAAGGCGGCGACGGGUAGCCGGCCUGAGAGGGUGACCGGCCACACUGGGACUGAGAUAAGGCACAGACUCCUACGGGAGGCAGAAGUGGGGAAUAUUGCACAAUGGGCGCAAGCCUGAUGCAGCAACGCCGCGUGCGGGAUGACGGCCUUCGGGUUGUAAACCGCUUUCAGCAGGGACGAAGCUUUUUGUGACGGUACCUGAAGAAGAAGCACCGGCUAACUACGUG
rnacentral:rRNA from 1 species